AUUGAACGCUGGCGGCAGGCUUAACACAUGCAAGUCGAGCGGAGAUGAGGUGCUUGCACCUUAUCUUAGCGGCGGACGGGUGAGUAAUGCUUAGGAAUCUGCCUAUUAGUGGGGGACAACAUUCCGAAAGGAAAGCUAAUACCGCAUACGCCCUACGGGGGAAAGCAGGGGAUCUUCGGACCUUGCGCUAAUAGAUGAGCCUAAGUCGGAUUAGCUAGUUGGUGGGGUAAAGGCCUACCAAGGCGACGAUCUGUAGCGGGUCUGAGAGGAUGAUCCGCCACACUGGGACUGAGACACGGCCCAGACUCCUACGGGAGGCAGCAGUGGGGAAUAUUGGACAAUGGGCGGAAGCCUGAUCCAGCCAUGCCGCGUGUGUGAAGAAGGCCUUUUGGUUGUAAAGCACUUUAAGCGGGGAGGAGGCUACCUGGAUUAAUACUCUAGGAUAGUGGACGUUACUCGCAGAAUAAGCACCGGCUAACUCUGUGCCAGCCGCCGCGGUAAAAC
rnacentral:rRNA from 1 species